rnacentral:rRNA from 1 species
UCAGUCGACUCCUACGGGGAGGCAGCAGUGGGGGGAAUAUUGCACAAUGGGCGCAAGCCUGAUGCAGCCAUGCCGCGUGUGUGAAGAAGGCCUUCGGGUUGUAAAGCACUUUCAGUCGUGAGGAAGGUAGUGUAGUUAAUAGCUGCAUUAUUUGACGUUAGCGACAGAAGAAGCACCGGCUAACUCCGUGCCAGCAGCCGCGGUAAUACGGAGGGUGCGAGCGUUAAUCGGAAUUACUGGGCGUAAAGCGCAUGCAGGUGGUUUGUUAAGUCAGAUGUGAAAGCCCGGGGCGUCAACCUCGGAAUAGCAUUUGAAACUGGCAGACUAGAGUACUGUAGAGGGGGGUAGGAAUUUCAGGUGUAGCGGUGAAAUGCGUAGAGAUCUGAAGGAAUACCGGUGGCGAAGGCGGCCCCCUCGGACAGAUACUGACACUCAGAUGCGAAAGCGUGGGGAGCAAACAGGAUUAGAUACCCUGGUAG